AAUUUUGCCCCUUUCUUCUCUGUGUGCCACUUGCGAGCAGGUCCCGCACUUCAUCCCCUUCCUCCACCCGUGUUCGUCCUGGAGUCCACUCCCAAACCAGAUUCGAUCACUAUCCCCACACCCUAGACCCUGGAAUCCACCUAUAAGGUAUUCCCGAGUCCUCCUCCGCAGAUUUUCGCAAAAUCGGAGUUCUCCUGUGCACUAGAACGGCGGCCCGAUCUCGCCGGAGUCCGCUGAAGCUGAAGCUCCGCUGCCGCCGAUUUCUUCAGCACCGAGGAGACGCCCCAGAGUCGAGCAAACGGAGCUCGCCCAGAAAUCCACUGCCACCGUUGCUCCAGCCUGACCUCACCGACGCUAACAGAAGGACCGGUCGUCCCUGAGGUAGUUUGCGUGUUCGCCGCAUCCCUCCUCACCUCGUAGUAUUUUCCCCUAGCUCGGGAGGCCUCUCCAGCAAGAGCACGCUCAAAAUCCAAGCCAGCCGCACCGUCUUCCUGAACUUCGGCGGCCAUCGAGCCCCUGUCUAUCCGUGACCAUGAGAAUUGAUGCGGAGCAUCCUAUGGACAUCACCAUGUCAAGAGUCCA